UUCGGAACGAAAAGACCGUAGCGGCGGACGGGGUCGAGGUAACACCGUGGGCGAACCCUAGCCUCAUAGAGGGGGAACGUAGCCUUCCGAACGGGAGAUUAAUACCGCAUAAGAUUGCAGCUUCGCAUGAAGUAGCAAUUAAAGGAGCAAUCCGCUAUGAGAUGGGCCCGCGGCGCAUUAGGCUAGUGGUGAGGUAACGGCUCACCAAGGCGACGAUGCGUAGCCGACCUGAGAGGUGAUCGGCCACAUUGGGACUGAGACACGGCCCAGACUCCUACGGGAGGCAGCAGUGGGGAAUAUUGCACAAUGGGGGAAACCCUGAUGCAGCAACGCCGCGUGAGUGAUGACGGCCUUCGGGUUGUAAAGCUCUGUCUUCAGGGACGAUAAUGACGGUACCUGAGGAGGAAGCCACGGCUAACUACGUG
rnacentral:rRNA from 1 species